GAGAAUAAAUUGUAAGUGUAAGUGCACAUGUUCGCUAGGGUUUGUCAGGUUGGCUAUAGUGUUGUAAGGUUGUUCGGGAAGUAAAAUUGUGUUUGCUGUGAAAACUGAUUGCCUUUUCCACUGACAUUAAAGGUCUUUCCAAUAAAGAUGUGAGUCCUAAUGUCUGAUUUCCCUCUGAUACAGAAUUAUCCAGAAGCGUGAAGCACAGGGCUGAUCCAGAUAAGCCUAAUGAUUCAGACCAAGACUCAGAUGGCCCUGGCACACACACAAAGACUACAGUCAAGAGAUCAUCCAAGAUUAAGAAAAAUGAAUUAUCCAGAAGCCCGAAGCACAGGCCAGAUCCAGAUGAGCCUAGUGAUUCAGACCAAGACUCAGAUGGUAUGUAGUGUGAUCAUAUACAGAUUAGACUAGGCAUGCUGUGUAAAAUAAGGUUAUAACUAGGGUUGGGAAUUGUUUCAAUUUUAUCGAUUCCGAUUCCAAUUCUGAUUUUGCUUAUCGAUUUCGAUUCUUAUCGAUUCCCAGUUUCGAUUCCACAGUUGAAGUAAAACAUUUAGAUAUCAACCUGUAUGGUCAUUUAGCCUGCUUAUUGACUUGUUUGCAAAUACUGUAUAUACUGUAUAUAUUUAUGAGCAGCGUUUUGUGUAUAUUUACACAUAGAAACACACUUUUUCUGAUUUAUUACAAUUUGUAUGAUCAUAGUUGAACUACAUCAUGGUUAAACUGCAGUUACUAUAAUGCAACUAUGGUUCAUUUGUGAUUCCUGUGCUUUAAUGCAAAUUCUAUAGCUAAACUAUGCUUACUAUAGUAAAAAAUAUCGAUAAUUUUCAUAAGGGCUUUUAUUGAGAUAUCAGCAGAUCAUGCAACGCAUGUACUUUUCUGAAAAUAUGUACACAGGAAUUGAUAAGAGGAAUUCACAUUUUAAUCUCAAGUAUCCGAUUCCUAUUCCUUUUGAUUACGAUCCGAUUCCUAGCCUUUCGAUUCCGAUUCCAAAUUGGAAUUGAUUUUCGAUUCCCA